AUUGAACGCUGGCGGCAGGCCUAACACAUGCAAGUCGAACGGUAACAGGAAGCAGCUUGCUGCUUUGCUGACGAGUGACGGACGGGUGAGUAAUGUCUGGGAAACUGCCCGAUGGAGGGGGAUAACUACUGGAAGCGGUAGCUAAUACCGCAUAACGUCGCAAGACCAAAGAGGGGGACCUUAGGGCCUCUUGCCAUCGGAUGUGCCCAGAUGGGAUUAGCUAGUAGGUGGGGUAACGGCUCACCUAGGCGACGAUCCCUAGCUGGUCUGAGAGGAUGACCAGCCACACUGGAACUGAGACACGGUCCAGACUCCUACGGGAGGCAGCAGUGGGGAAUAUUGCACAAUGGGCGCAAGCCUGAUGCAGCCAUGCCGCGUGUAUGAAGAAGGCCUUCGGGUUGUAAAGUACUUUCAGCGGGGAGGAAGGGAGUAAAGUUAAUACCUUUGCUCAUUGACGUUACCCGCAGAAGAAGCACCGGCUAACUCCGUG
rnacentral:rRNA from 1 species